ACGGUUGUUUGUUUACGACGUGCCCUGCGAUUGGCUGGCGACCGGUUGAGGGUGUACCCCGCCUCCCGCCCGAAGAUAGCUGGGAUAGUCUCCAGCAAGCCUGCGAUCCGAGUGAGGAUAAGUGGUAAAGAAAAUGGAUGGAUGGGAUUUUUGGCUUGCAAACAAAUAUUUAAAUACAAUAGAACCUCGCCCCAUCUUUGCUUGUGAAUGACUUGUGAAUUCAGGGAAGCUCCUUUUCUGCCCAAUCACGGCACCCACCUGUUCCCAAUGAGCCUGUUCACCUGUGGGAUGUUCCAAACAGGUGUUGGAUGAGCAUUCCUCCGCUUUUUUGCCACCUGUCCCAGCUUUUUGGGAACGUGUUGCAGCCAUACAAUUCUAAGUUAAUGAUUAUUUGCUAAAAACAAUCACAUUUACCAGUUUGAACAUUAAAUAUCGUGUCUUUCUAGUGUAUUCAAUUAAAUAUAGGUUGAACAUGAUUUGCAAAUCAUUGUAUUCUGUUUUUAUUUAUGUUUAACACGUCCCAGCUUCAUUGGAAUUGGGGCUGUACAUCUACUCUUUCGUCUCUUUUGUUUCCAGUAGACUGGAUGCCCCGUGGCACUGUGCUGCAUCUCACAGGUCAGUUUUUCCUCAUCAUGUGUGGGAUCUCACACAUUCUAACAAUCGGUUAAGAUGUCAAAAAUUGGUACAUGUGUAACAGGCUAAAGACCCCACAACUGAGAUGCUCGGAUGUCAUCACUACGCUGUCCUGCUUUUAAUCAUGGUGCAUACUUAUACUGUAUUUACGUGGGGAUUUCUGAUGUGCUGUGAUUUAGUACAGCCACAUUGUUUGUAUUGUGUCAAUUCAUUGGGUUUUUUUGUGUGUGCUAUUUUGGAACUAAUACAUGUUAUCUUAUCUCAUAUACAAGGUCCUUGGUUUACAACAGUCCAGACAUGACAUUCUGAAGUUACAAACGUGGCGUAGUGUACAAAUACGUUGUCACGCGGGCCAUCACACGAAAGUGCUUGUCUUCAUUAGGGUCGCAGGUGAGCAGAAGCCUAAAAGGCAAAGGCAGUGGAAUCAAGGGGGCACUGGCUGCACGCAUCCCCCCCCCCCCCCCCCCCGCAGUUUUUGGCCUGCCUUUGACAUUCGCUAGCUAACAGCCAAUCAGAGCGAUCAAUUGUCACUGACGGCAAACCCAGAUUCAACAGGUUCAAUCUGGCUAAAACUGCCAACCAAUGGCUCGUGUGCAGACUGUGCGAGGAAGGACACCGCAGCGG